UGCUGGUGCUGGUAUAGGUGCUGGUGCUGGUAGAGGUGCUGGAAGAGGUGCUGGAAGAGGAGGUUUCUCAGCCCCAAGAUGGGUUGCUAGUGCUUCUACUUCUGGCAAUAUUGGAUGGGCUAGUUACUUCAAUGCUAGUGGUAAUAGAUGAGCUAGGUGACAGUAAGGCUAGGUGACAGUAAUGCUAGUGGAUGUUUUGUAAUGCUAGUGGUCUGUUUGAGAACUAUUGUGGUGUUUGAGAACUAUUGUGGUGUUUGAUAACUUUUGUGGUGUUUGGUAAUAUAUGAGCUAGGUGACAGUUAUGCUGAAAUUUUGCUUGUGUACUGCUUGGAUAUAUAUACUCAAUUAUACUUGGAUAUAUAUACUGAAAUUAAC
rnacentral:lncRNA from 1 species